rnacentral:rRNA from 1 species
AACGAACGCUGGCGGCGUGCCUAACACAUGCAAGUCGAACGUGAAAGUCCUUCGGGAUGAGUAAAGUGGCGCACGGGUGAGUAACACGUAGGUGACCUGCCUUUUAGAGGGGAAUAACCAGAAGAAAUUUUGGCUAAUGCCGCAUACGAAGCGCAAAUUUAAAAGUAGUGCUUGAAAGAAUGCCUCUGCAUAUGCAUUCACUAAAAGAUGGGCCUGCGGAACAUUAGCUAGUUGGUGGGGUAAAGGCCUACCAAGGCAACGAUGUUUAUCCGGGCUGCGAGGUUGAUCGGACACACGGGAACUGAGACACGGUCCAGACUCCUACGGGAGUCAGCAGUGGGGAAUAUUGCGCAAUGGGGGAAACCCUGACGCAGCAACGCCGCGUGAGUGAGGAAGGACUUCGGUCUGUAAAGCUCUGUUAAUGAGGAAAAAGGGUAUGUGGUCUAAUAGGCCAUGUAUUUGAUGGUACUCAUAGAGGAAGCACCGGCUAACUUCGUGCAGCAGCCGCCGUAACAC